AUUGAACGCUGGCGGCAGGCCUAACACAUGCAAGUCGAACGGUAACAGGAAGCAGCUUGCUGCUUCGCUGACGAGUGGCGGACGGGUGAGUAAUGUCUGGGAAGCUGCCUGAUGGAGGGGGAUAACUACUGGAAACGGUAGCUAAUACCGCAUAAUGUCGCAAGACCAAAGAGGGGGACCUUCGGGCCUCUUGCCAUCGGAUGUGCCCAGAUGGGAUUAGCUUGUUGGUGGGGUAACGGCUCACCAAGGCGACGAUCCCUAGCUGGCCUGAGAGGAUGACCAGCCACACUGGAACUGAGACACGGUCCAGACUCCUACGGGAGGCAUCAGUGGGGAAUAUUGCACAAUGGGCGCAAGCCUGAUGCAGCUAUGCCGCGUGUAUGAAGAAGGCCUUCGGGUUGUAAAGUACUUUCAGCGGGGAGGAAGGGAGUAAAGUUAAUACCUUUGCUCAUUGACGUUACCCGCAGAAGAAGCACCGGCUAACUCCGUG
rnacentral:rRNA from 1 species